rnacentral:rRNA from 1 species
GACGAACGCUGGCGGCGUGCUUAACACAUGCAAGUCGAACGGAAAGGCCCUGCUUUUGUGGGGUGCUCGAGUGGCGAACGGGUGAGUAACACGUGAGUAACCUGCCCUUGACUUUGGGAUAACUUCAGGAAACUGGGGCUAAUACCGGAUAGGAGCUCCUGCUGCAUGGUGGGGGUUGGAAAGUUUCGGCGGUUGGGGAUGGACUCGCGGCUUAUCAGCUUGUUGGUGGGGUAGUGGCUUACCAAGGCUUUGACGGGUAGCCGGCCUGAGAGGGUGACCGGCCACAUUGGGACUGAGAUACGGCCCAGACUCCUACGGGAGGCAGCAGUGGGGAAUAUUGCACAAUGGGCGGAAGCCUGAUGCAGCAACGCCGCGUGCGGGAUGACGGCCUUCGGGUUGUAAACCGCUUUCGCCUGUGACGAAGCGUGAGUGACGGUAAUGGGUAAAGAAGCACCGGCUAACUACGUGCCAGCAGCCGCGGUGAUACGUAGGGUGCGAGCGUUGUCCGGAUUUAUUGGGCGUAAAGGGCUCGUAGGUGGUUGAUCGCGUCGGAAGUGUAAUCUUGGGGCUUAGCCCUGAGCGUGCUUUCGAUACGGGUUGACUUGAGGAAGGUAGGGGAGAAUGGAAUUCCUGGUGGAGCGGUGGAAUGCGCAGAUAUCAGGAGGAACACCAGUGGCGAAGGCGGUUCUCUGGGCCUUUCCUGACGCUGAGGAGCGAAAGCGUGGGGAGCGAACAGGCUUAGAUACCCUGGUAGUCCACGCUGUAAACGGUGGGUACUAGGUGUGGGGUCCAUUCCACGGGUUCCGUGCCGUAGCUAACGCUUUAAGUACCCCGCCUGGGGAGUACGGCCGCAAGGCUAAAACCCAAAGGAAUUGACGGGGCCCCGCACAAGCGGCGGAGCAUGCGGAUUAAUUCGAUGCAACGCGUAGAACCUUACCUGGGUUUGACAUGGAUCGGGAGUGCUCAGAGAUGGGUGUGCCUCUUUUGGGGUCGGUUCACAGGUGGUGCAUGGCUGUCGUCAGCUCGUGUCGUGAGAUGUUGGGUUAAGUCCCGCAACGAGCGCAACCCUUGUUCACUGUUGCCAGCACGUUAUGGUGGGGACUCAGUGGAGACCGCCGGGGUCAACUCGGAGGAAGGUGGGGAUGACGUCAAGUCAUCAUGCCCCUUAUGUCCAGGGCUUCACGCAUGCUACAAUGGCUGGUACAGAGAGUGGCGAGCCUGUGAGGGUGAGCGAAUCUCGGAAAGCCGGUCUCAGUUCGGAUUGGGGUCUGCAACUCGACCUCAUGAAGUCGGAGUCGCUAGUAAUCGCAGAUCAGCAACGCUGCGGUGAAUACGUUCCCGGGGCU